rnacentral:rRNA from 1 species
UACGGAGGAUGCAAGCGUUAUCCGGAUUUAUUGGGCGUAAAGCGUCCGCAGGUGGUUUUCCAAGUCUGCUGUUAAAGCGCGAGGCUUAACCUCGUACAGGCAGUGGAAACUGGAUGACUAGAGUAUGGUAGGGGUAGCGGGAAUUCCCAGUGUAGCGGUGAAAUGCGCAGAUAUCGGGAGGAACACCGGUGGCGAAGGCGGGUCUCUGGGCCGAUACUGACGCUGAGGAGCGAAAGCGUGGGGAGCGAACAGG